CCUACGGGAGGCAGCAGUCGGGAAUAUUGCGCAAUGGAGGCAACUCUGACGCAGUGACGCCGCGUAUAGGAAGAAGGUUUUCGGAUUGUAAACUAUUGUCCACAGGGAAGAAAAAGACUGUACCUGUGAAGAAAGCUCCGGCUAACUACGUGCCAGCAGCCGCGGUAAUACGUAGGUGGCAAGCGUUAUCCGGAUUUACUGGGUGUAAAGGGCGUGUAGGCGGGAAAGCAAGUCAGAUGUGAAAACCAUGGGCUCAACCUGUGGCCUGCAUUUGAAACUGUUUUUCUUGAGUACUGGAGAGGCAG
rnacentral:rRNA from 1 species